UACGAAGGGUCCAAGCGUUAUCCGGAUUUAUUGGGUUUAAAGGGUGCGUAGGCGGGUUGUUAAGUCAGUGGUGAAAUCUUGCAGCUUAACUGUAAAAUUGCCAUUGAUACUGACGAUCUUGAGUACACUUGAAGUGGGCGGAAUAUGUCAUGUAGAGGUGAAAUUCUUAGAGAUGACAUAGAACACCGAUUGCGAAGGCAGCCCCCUGGGCUAGCACGUGACGCUCAGGC
rnacentral:rRNA from 1 species